UUCCCGCUCGUCUAGCUGGUAGGACGCGAGAUUCUGGAUCUUGAAACCCUGGUUCGAUCCCAGGGCGGGAAGCCA
rnacentral:tRNA from 1 species